rnacentral:rRNA from 1 species
GACGAACGCUGGCGGCGUGCUUAACACAUGCAAGUCGAACGGUGAACCUCUUCGGAGGGGAUCCUUGGCGAACGGGUGGGUAACACGUUGGCAAGCUGCCCCCGGCUCUGGGAUAACUCCAAGACUUUGGGGCUAAUGCCGGAUGUUCACCGCUUCCCGCAUGGGUCAUGGUGCAAAGGGUUUCCGGCUUGGGGUGGGCACGCGGCCUAUCAGCUUGUCGGUGUGGUAGUGGCCUACCAAGGCGGCGACGGGUAGCCGGCCCGAGAGGGUGACCGGCCACACGGGGACUGAGACAGGGCCCAGACUCGUACGGGAGGCAGCAGUGGGGAAUAUUGCGCAAUGGGCGGAAGCCUGACGCAGAGACGCCGCGUGGGGGAUGACGGCCUUCGGGGUGUAAACCUCUUUCAGCAGGGACGAAGAGCAAGUGACGGUACCUGCAGAAGAAGCACCGGCCAACUACGUG